rnacentral:tRNA from 1 species
GUGGGUAUAGAUCAGUAGUGGAGUGCAUGCUUAGCAUGCAUGAGGUCCUGGGUCCAAUUCCCAGUAUCUCCA